UCUGCAGUAGAUAUUCAAUAUGUCACCUCUUCACAAUCACCACUACUACAUACCUGAACAAGUCACCAAAAUAAUUCUUGCAAUUUGGCACGUACCUGUUUGGGUAUCAGAGACAACUCCAGUUUCGUCUUCCAGCUUGUGCAGUUUGUUGUACUUCUUCUCGGCUGAGGCAUGUCUCUAGUUGUUUAAGAACAUUAAGAUCAAUGAAGUUAUCUAAUAAAUGUAGGGAAACAAGCAUCAAUUAUAAAUUAGUUCACCAGAGAACAAUCCUUAUAACAUAAAUGAAUAAUGAUAGAG
rnacentral:sRNA from 1 species